GUCACUGUUAACCAUCGAGCUUGGCUAUAAAACAUUUUGUUCAGUGCACCCUAGGCGGACACACCGCAAAACUUUUGCGUGUGGUUUUGUGUAUUCCAUUCUAAUAAGUCGCCAGCUAUCUAACAAUUCAAAUCUAAGAAAAUUUCAAAAUUCAAUUUGCACUGCGGCGUUGUGACGCUGCUGGGGGAGUGAACAACAAAAGCACACCUCAUCUGGAAACUCCCCCGGUGGUGUCCCUUUGCAUUUCCACAACCACAGCACACCACACCACUCGAUGCGACGGCAAAGUGAACAAACAUUUCUGAAAACUUACUUGAAUAGAUUAUUAGGAAUUAUCAAAACUUAAUUUAGCUUAAGAGUGCUCAACAUAAGCGGGGGCCAGGCGGGACGUGGCAUGCGGGCAGCUAAUGAAUGCGGCCCGGGUUCAGGAACAGGUGACAAACAAUCAGAAGAAGGAGACGACCUGGCCAUUGAUCUUGUCAUGCCUUUGUUGUGGACGCUGGUAAAUCCCCGACUAAGCGGCUUAGGGAGCAGCUCUGUGCUCGUGCAACUUAAAAGUUUAGCACAUGCGAUUUAAGCGCUAGAGGAAAUUACAUCAGCUGCUGGGUUGUCAUCACAGCGGGACUACGUUUAUUAACUGGACUUGGAGAUGGACGAGGAAACAGACACAUUACACAGACACAGACACAGACACGGACACGGAUCGAUCUAAUGAGGCUGCCAGCUGGCGGCAGUGUCUGGGAUUGGCCGGGUCUGCCAUAUCCAGCUGUGUAAUCGGCUUCAAUUAAAUCAAGCCAAACGAUACUGGCAAUUUGAACGUUCGCUUUUGUGCUCCCCACGAGCACGGACAAGGAGCUUGCAGCUAAAUAGAAUCCAGUCAAUGUCUGAGUCGGAGUCGUAGUUGGAGUUGGAGUCAUGGCGACCUUUUAGCAGCGCUUCCUGGCAAGGCCCGGCUUGGCCUCCUGCCCUGCGCUUCACUCAAUCUGGCGUUAAUAACGUGGCACAAAUUUACAAGGGAAGUGCAGAUGGAAAGAAAUAGUUGAGUUACCUUUACCUUGCCCUUGCCCUUAUUCCGAGUCGAUAAUCGCAAAGGAAAACGGAUGUCCAAUUAGUUGUGUGCCAGCUUCCGGCUCCCAGCUCUUCCUGUGCCCAUCCAGCUCAUCUGAGCCCGUUUUGAGCCUGUCAAUUGCAGCCAGCAUCCAUUCCAUUUGAGUCGAGUCGAUUGCCAGUUGGAGGCCAAGCGACGCCCGUCAUUGUUGCCAGUUUGGACGCCAACGGCAUAAUUUUCAUAUUUGCUUGCCAGUCAAUUGCCAACAAUUUGCAUAGAUUGAUGUAUGUAUAUAUGGCUUAUCCUGGUCCCUAAUCAAUGCCUAUUUAUGUUCAAAAUCCGUUUGGAUUUGCCAGUGACGCGCUUAUCGCGCUGCAUGCUCGUCGGGCUAAAAAUUGAAUAAAGGAUUUAGGGCCUUAAAUUGGGAGGCACAGACGCGUCGCCGACUUGCCACGUCAAAUGCCUGCCAGUGUCUCAGAGUGUGCAUUGGCGUGUGCCCCUUCCUCCAAGGAUCUGCGUGUGUGUGUGUGUGUGUGACAGGAAGCCAAACAAAAGCAACAUGUGUAACUUGUAUGGCAUGGCAGCGUCAAAAGGCGAGAGGCUGGAAAAAUCUAUUAGAACGUGUCUUGCCUGCCAACCCAAUACUUCUUUACCCAUUCGCAGAGCCGCUGCUCCAUUUUUCCCGCUUAUAUUUCACCCGAGGGCAUAAUAAGCUUGCCUGCCACCCUCCUUUGCACCUCCUGCUUUUCCUUUUUCUCUGUUUUUUUGUUGUAUUUUUAUUUAUUUGCACGUGCUUGCGUGUGUGUGUGCCUGAGAUAUUUACUUAUGAUUGAGUUGCGUGGCGGCAGAAGAGGAAACAUCGAGGGCACGGCACCCUCGAAACAAUUUGGUAAGAGAUUGCGGUUGCUUUACUGAUUUUCUCACCCAUUUUGUGUGCGCUUUCCCUCCCAUUUCUCUACCAUUUUCCACGACCGUUCGUUUCCUCCCUCUUCCGCCUGCCAGCCAGCCUGCCAGGCACUGUGGUGUGUGUGUGUGUGUGUGUGUGCGUGAGAGAUGAAAAUUUAAAUUGAUUUUGCAUUGUUUGACUGUCAUUGUUGUUGCCCUCAUCGCCGUCCUGUUGGCUGUUGGCUGUUGUUUCUGUUUAUUUAUCUUUUUGUAUGCGGUGGUUCUCGAUAAACCUGAAGCUCUGGUUAUACAUGGCUCGAACAUUAUUAUAAAUUUCAAUUUGUGCUCGAUAAACGUAGCCCCCGAAUGGGUUUUGCUUUUCUCUUACCCUCUUCUCUUUAUACGUGAGAUGACUGGACUGAACUGUUCGCUUUUUGGGUUGAUAUUUCAUCCCGGGAGAUGGUGUUAUAUAUCAGCGCAUACCAGGAGGGACGAUUGCAGCUAUAAAACUAGGGAUAAAUAAAAGAUAAAUUGGAUAUUCGU